AGAUUGAACGCUGGCGGCAUGCUUUACACAUGCAAGUCGAACGGCAGCACGGGGGCAACCCUGGUGGCGAGUGGCGAACGGGUGAGUAAUGCGUAGGAAUCUACCCACGAGUGGGGGAUAGCCCGGAGAAAUCCGGAUUAAUACCGCAUAUGCCCUACGGGGUAAAGCGGGGGAUCGUAAGACCUCGCGCUGGUGGAUGAGCCUACGUCCGAUUAGUUAGUUGGUGGGGUAAAGGCCUACCAAGGCUACGACGGGUCGCUGGUCUGAGAGGACGACCAGCCACACUGGGACUGAGACACGGCCCAGACUCCUACGGGAGGCAGC
rnacentral:rRNA from 1 species